rnacentral:rRNA from 1 species
CUACGGAGGAUCCAAGCGUUAUCCGGAAUCAUUGGGUUUAAAGGGUCCGUAGGUGGACAGAUAAGUCAGAGGUGAAAUCCUGCAGCUCAACUGUAGAAUUGCCUUUGAAACUGUUUGUCUUGAGUCAUUGUGAAGUGGUUAGAAUGUGUAGUGUAGCGGUGAAAUGCAUAGAUAUUACACAGAAUACCGAUUGCGAAGGCAGAUCACUAAUAAUGUACUGACACUGAUGGACGAAAGCGUGGGUAGCGAACAGGAUUAGAAACCCUAGUAGUCC